rnacentral:rRNA from 1 species
GAACGCGAAGAACCUUACCUAGGCUUGACAUUGAGAGAAUCCGCUAGAAAUAGUGGAGUGUCUGGCUUGCUAGACCUUGAAAACAGGUGCUGCACGGCUGUCGUCAGCUCGUGUCGUGAGAUGUUGGGUUAAGUCCCGCAACGAGCGCAACCCCCUUUCUUAGUUGCUAACAGGUCAUGCUGAGAACUCUAAGGAUACUGCCUCCGUAAGGAGGAGGAAGGUGGGGACGACGUCAAGUCAUCAUGGCCCUUACGCCUAGGGCUACACACGUGCUACAAUGGGGUGCACAAAGAGAAGCAAUACUGCGAAGUGGAGCCAAUCUUCAAAACAUCUCUCAGUUCGGAUUGUAGGCUGCAACUCGCCUGCAUGAAGCUGGAAUCGCUAGUAAUCGCAAAUCAGCCAUGUUGCGGUGAAUACGUUCCCGGGUCUUGUACACACC